AAUGAACGCUGGCGGCAUGCUUUACACAUGCAAGUCGAACGGUAACAGGCCUUCGGGUGCUGACGAGUGGCGAACGGGUGCGUAAUGCAUCGGAACGUACCCAGAGGUGGGGGAUAACGCAGCGAAAGCUGUGCUAAUACCGCAUGUGAUCUGAGGAUGAAAGCGGGGGACCGAGCAGCAAUGUUUGGCCUCGCGCCUUUGGAGCGGCCGAUGUCGGAUUAGCUAGUUGGUGGGGUAAAGGCCUACCAAGGCGACGAUCCGUAGCUGGUCUGAGAGGACGACCAGCCACACUGGGACUGAGACACGGCCCAGACUCCUACGGGAGGCAGCAGUGGGGAAUUUUGGACAAUGGGCGCAAGCCUGAUCCAGCAAUGCCGCGUGCGGGAAGAAGGCCUUCGGGUUGUAAACCGCUUUUGGCAGGAACGAAACGGUGUCCGCUAAUACCGGGCGCUAAUGACGGUACCUGCAGAAUAAGCACCGGCUAACUACGUG
rnacentral:rRNA from 1 species